AGGCAAACAUUUUUUUAAAGGGGGGGAUGGCGAAAAAAGUGGGGUAAAGAGAAGAGAAACGGGGCGGAGGGGACGACGCGUUCCACAGACGGAGAAAAUAUCCGCGAGGAUUUUUUUUGUUUUUUUGUUUUUCUUUCCUCCCCUGAAGGUUUUGUAAGACGAAAACUCCUGGAUGUGUGUCAAAUGUGCCAAAAAAUGAGAGAACCGGCGAGAUUCUCCGCAGCCGCCCGGACGCACGCGGACCCACAAGCUGGACUUGGAGCUCCUUUUCCGGGGCUGCGCUCAACGAGGAGCCGCCGCUGCUCCGCUCUCUCUCCCCACACCGCGUGUCGAGCCUCUGUCGGGCUCCUCGACGCCGAUAAAACCCCGCGUAGGUUUUUCCGAACCGGGUCGAAAUGCGCACGUUUGUGCGUAAAAACAAUGUGUUUUUUUUCCCUUUUGGUUCUUUUUUUUUUCCCCCUCCACGAACUGCGGAGAUCGGACUGCAUUUGCCCGUUUCUUAUCUCCCGCACACGGAGGAGGAGAGGACGGAGGCUGGUGUACACACAGGGUGCAGCCAGGUGCAAUGGGAGGCCCUCUUAUGUUCAGCCUGACCACAGGGAUCAAGCAGCGCAUCAACUUCUCACAGCAGCCAAACGUCUGCACACCAGCUGCGAAAGUGCAACUCCCUUUACUCCUCACAUUAACCCGUGCGCGCGCACCCAAAGCUUAGCAAUAACCUGGUGCAAAUCACAAAAUAAUGCUUAAUGUUUGCGCAUUUCCAGAUGAUAAUAUGAUAGAUUUGGAGU